AACUUUCACCGCAGUCACUGUUAUACAGUGAACAACAUUCUUCUCCAGUUUUCCGAUUUUUUUUCUGUGGAGAAACAUAACGGCCAACUAGCCAACUUUAAAAGUAUAAAAUGCAAAAAAAAAUUGCGCUUCAAAUGGUGCAGGUGCACCAUAUGGUCAUAAUUCAUUCAGCGACAAUAUUUCGGUACUAUGCCAUGUGCUCACCCAAGUACAAUUCAUCGCUGGGGGGACGCUGGAGGUCUUACAUUCAUUGUUCGAAACAAGUUCUGUCAAGUUCGGUCUUGAAAAACUACUCUCCUCCUCUCUGUGCACUCUCUACUCCCUUCCCUUUCCUCUCUUGCUUGCUGCGAAAAAACGAGAGACAACGCCAUCUACGAGCAACAAAGCUCAACUGCGGCACUGCGGCCAACGGCAAACUGAACAACUGAAGAACUGAACAUAAACCCCUCUGGACGGUGACAUGUGACAUUUGCGAAUUUAUUCGCAUUUCGCAUCACACAUCGAAAGCGUCCCCAGAGGCUGCGCUCACCUACGCCGACGUUUUGCGACUCUUAACUCAGUUUAAGGUUUCUGUGCGAAUUUUUAGGCGCGUUGGGUGUGUGGGCAGCCAGAACAUAAACGUUCGCGUCGCUCUCGACUAUUUUGACUUGAUUUUGACAGGAGAGGUCGGUCGACGAUUCUCGACCACGAUCCUUUUGCUGUUGUCGACUAAAAAGUAAAAAAAUGAAAUACGAGGAUUUGCAAACGGCAGAGGCAAAGUCUUCAAUUCUUGGGGUGGUUGUGAGGUCCAUUUACAAGGAUUUGCCAUCCAACUUGAAGGGAGACAAGGCCGCCGUAACGCAGUGGGUUCUGCAGAAGAAACUGAACCAAAAGUCAAAUCUCAUGCUUGAGACAAUUCUACACCCCAACGAGUUGAAGAAUCUUAAACGUGAACUGCAAUGUCUGUUCAAACCUGUCAUGAACAAAAAUAACAGAGAAGUGCUGCCGGGCAUUGCUUUGAAACUUCUUAAGUCUUUCCACACUGCAGAUGACUUUAAGAAAAAAGUGUGUGAUGGAGUAUUCAAACUUUACAAGUCGGAGCACUGUCGUGAGAAUUGGGCGUACCGGUCAAGAAUGGUGGCUCGAGACACGUUCUACGACACCUUCCUUGAUCAGACAAGAAAGAAAGCCAUCAAAGUAGGGGACAAGGGCAACUUUGCUGUGUUUGUGGCGCCCUUGCAAGAAGACUUGUAUAACGCAGAUUGUGUCAGCACACCUCUCUACGUGGUUUCCAAGAACAAAACAAAAAAGCAACGACAAAAACAUCGGAACGCUGCUUCCAGUCAUCGUGGCAUCCCUCGUGCGCCCCCAGACUUAUCAAAGGGCAAUUGUAGCUUGAAUAGCUGGCUGCAUGGCAUUUACAGCUGUGGAAGGCAGAAAGACGGAUUCCGUUGUGCCAUCCGAGAGUUGCUCAGCAGAUGCCCCUUUGGACCGAUUCGAAACCUGUUCGACUACAUUAUAGCCAACCCUCAAUUCUCUCUUGAGGCUGAUCGACUGAGACAGGUUGUGAUCGUUGCAUACGCAAGACGCUGGCGGCAGAAGCGAUACGAGUGGGACAUGCUGGCGCAGCAGGCACUGGAAUUUGCUUUAGAAACCGUCCGGCUGAGGCGUAAGGUGUGCUCGAGCAAUAGCGACCACACAGUUCUGGAUCUGAAAUCGCCUCCGCACGUUACCCCGACUGAGUUGAGAUACCUCACUGAAAUCGCUUCUGCUCCUCUGGAAAAGUGCAAGAAAUGCAAUGGGCAAAUGAAAACCGAGAUUGUCGCAUGCAAUAGUAUGAUUUUGGUGGACUUCUGUCAUUACGACUUGGAAAGCGAUCGAUAUGCGCUUUUAGACGAUUUAGAGGCGGAGGGCCUUCUCGUAGACACCCUGACUUUUGGAAAUGAGUGUUACUACCUCCUUGGCCUGAGCACUGAAGAAAUUGAAGAUACCGACUUUGUGAGAGACCUAGUUGAAUAUGGACCUCCAGCAGAACUUCCUCGCUAUGUCAGAAACCUUGGUUUCGACCCUGCUUUGAGACCUGAAAAUUAUUACUUGUUGAAGAGUAAAUCAGGUGACGACAGCAAACAGUCGACUGAUGAGGAGGAAGUCGAAGAAGAUGAACUCUCUUCGGAGACCCCCAUAGAAAUACGAAUGUUAUAACACUAGAAUAACUUAUACAAUAACAGGGGAGUGAAGACGAGACGAGUGAAGAAGAGGGUUCACAGAGUGAUGUGGACGAUACAAGUAGCCUCAGUGAGAUCAGUGUCGACAAUGUCAGUGACGAAGAUCAAAUCAGCACUAGCGAUUAUGGUGAUGUCGGUGAAGAGAAAAAUAAUGAUGAAGAUAAGAACACAUACGACAGCGACGAACAGGACGACGAUGAUGAUCCUCAGGACAAAGAGCCAGCAGACAAUUUUGAAGAUGAGGAGGAAGAACAGUCGUCCGAUGAUGAUGACGAUCUUGCACGGCCAACAAGCCAUAGCCUCUUCCUAGAAAGGAAUUACACCCGAGGUCGCUGGUUCAGAGUUUGCGACUGGAAAACUACAGAAUUUUCAGAUGAUUUCUUACAAGCUCCAGGUUUCAGCUACCGAGCAAAUUACGCCUGGUACGGCAAACAAGAUGUUGUAAAGAGAGGGGGGACAAGACUUAUAAAGAAAGGUACUUGCGCCAAACUAAAGUGAUGUGUGACCCUGUGUGAGUUCAGUUCUGACUGAAAUCAAAACAAGUUCAGUUCGCAACCUCUUGCCAAAUGAAGUUUUAUGUUUUAACUACGCGUAUCCACACCUUAGUGGGUUUCUUCCAUGUUUUGUCCUAUAGUAAAUUGAAUAACAUGUAAAGUUGCCGCGUCGUUGAGAUAUAUUAAAUUCUGCUGGGAAAUUACCUAAUUUUGAAUUUAGUUGUGGUUUUUUUAUAUGUAUUUCUGUUAUACCAUGGUUCAACAUUAAACGCAUGCGAAUAAGACAAAUUCUUUUAAUAAUUUUUAAAAAAUAGUGCAUUCUUGUAAUAAAAAUAGCC